GACAGAGUGAGAUCCUCUCUCAAAAAAUAAAACAAAAUAAUAAAAUAAAAUUUACCCUAACGCAUCCAUCCGGGGCAUGAGCUGUGGGCUAAUGAGGUUUAUCGGUUUUACUGCCAAUCAUCCUACACCCCACAUCCUGGGGGUGGGUCUUUUUUAAAUGGCAGAGAAGCAUACACCAACCGUGGCCUUGCUCAUCAAGCCAGGUUCCAUCAUCUGUGAAGGAUGGAUACAGGCAUGCUCAGCCUCAGCCUGGCAUUGCUUGAAUGGGGCUCUCAGCUAGAAAAUGUGCUAAAGUCAAUUACAAAGGAAGCCUCUUUAAAACGGGGCAGGGGAGUUACUAAGAGCCAUGGUGAUAGAGUUUGCAGCCCUGCCUUCUGCAAGGUGUGGCCGGUUCAUUCAUUUAACCAUUUGGGUAUUUCCUGCUGGCACAUCCCAGAAGGAGGGCAUCCCCUCUUUACCGAAAGGUAAGAUAAAGCAGCACGAUGAGACUAGGGGGUGUUGGUAAGACGGGAACUGGGGGCCGGGAGUCCUGGCUUCUUCCUCUAGCCCGUUUCUUCGCCCCCUCUGAGAGUUUCCACUGGUGACAACAUUUACUGUAAAUUCUGUGCUCUGAAGAACCUGGGCAAACCCCGAGGCAGAAGGGAGGGCCACUCUGACCUUCUCCCCGCCUAGAGGCUGGCCCAGCUUUCGGGAAGUGACAGCAGGUCCUUCCUCCCUAAGCAAGCUCUGCUGAGCUCACUCAGCCCUCUGGUCUGCCCACCCCUCCCCUUGCAGAUCCCAGAGCUCUAGGCAAAGUUCAUAACCGCUGCCUGCUGCCUCUAACCAGAAAACCACCACCAGUGAUAAGAAACUUGUCUUUACCUUGGGAAGCAAGACUGCUUCCUGCUAGGGCCCCCAAGAAACCCGCCCUGCCAGCUCAGGGACCGUGCAGCCAGCCUGACACUGGUGAGAGACAGGGUUUGACUUCCCUCGCAGGAGGAAGUGGCUGAUCUGGGGCCUCUUCCCUCCAUGUCCCCACCUGCUGUUGCCCAGCUGACUCUAGCCCUUCUUGGGGCAGUUAUGCCCUGGAACGGGCUCUCUCAGUUGAAGGCACAAUUGUCAAAGGUGGCAUGGAAGCAGCUGUUGAUCCAGAGGUAUGACAAUGACAUCCCCUGACAAUGAGGGCUGGACACCUAGGGCACAGUGAAGGGGUGGAAAUGUCGCUUCUACUGUGCAUGUCUGCUACUGCAGAGUGGGGCGGGAGUGAGCCUGUGUUAACCCUUCUUUCUCCCAUUCAGAAUUCACCCCGGUCUAUCCGACUCCCACAGUAAGCCUCUGAGUGGGAUAGGGAAGAGCUGACCGUCUGCCUCCUGGGCUGCAGGGAGAGGGGGUCUCCUGGCCAGAUACUCUGGACGAGGGCUGACUUGAGGCCAGAUCUUCCUCCAGAUGCAGAGCCAGGUCCUGAACUCAUGACCACGCCAUCACGGGGACCCGUGGUGAAAACCUCUGCAGAUACCCUGCAAUGUGAAGGGGCCUUUGUACUGUGAACCCAACCUACCCCUUCUAGGAAGCAGGGAACUGGACUAAGUCCAACAGAGGAGACUUAGAAAACCCCUGAGAAACUUGGGCAGGGGCACUCUGGGGAAACUCUCCUAUUCUGCUCAGGAGAAGGAAGUCUGGGUCCUGCUGAGAAUAGCUCCAUGAAGACAUCUGCUGAACAGGCAGCUGUCAGUUUGUGACCUGGGACUAUCAUCCUAUUUAGACAAUCAUUCUUUAUAGCAUCAAGACCAGCGUGGAGCUGGACUUCUAAUUUCCAAUAUGCCUCCCAAAUGUAGCCACACCAACCCAUCAUCGAUAAGACAAGCCGUGGGGGGUGGUGGAUUGCCUUGACGUGUUUUCCCUCCCCAAAUGAAAAUAGCCGAAUUUUUUAAAUUCUGAUUUUUAAAAUGGAACAUAUUUCUUUAUUUAUCAUAAUAAGGAAAAACAAAAGUACCAAGAAUAAGAUGAACUGCCUAAACUCAACUACUCAUAAUUGCUAUUAACAUUUUGGAGAAUGUCCUCCCAGACAUCUCUUUAUGCAUGCAACCAUGACCCAAACCCACAAAUUUUGCAUUAAAGGAUUAUACUCUGCAUGCUGUUUGUAAUUUGCCUUCUUCACUUAAUGCUAUAUUACUGACGUCUUUCUAUGUUGAUAAAUACAAAGCUAAGUAGUCAUUUAAAGUACGAGCAUAAAUUUUUUAUUGUAUGAAUGUAUCAUAAUAUGCUCGUCUUUUGUUGUAAGCCACCUGUCCAGUUUUUUUUUUUUUUUUUUAGACGGAGUUUCGCUCUUGUUACCCAGGCUGGAGUGCAAUGGCGCGAUCUCGGCUCACCGCAACCUCCGCCUCCUGG